rnacentral:rRNA from 1 species
GACGAACGCUGGCGGCGUGCUUAACACAUGCAAGUCGAGCGGUAAGGCCCUUUCGGGGGUACACGAGCAGCGAACGGGUGAGUAACACGUGGGUGACCUGCCCUCAGCUCUGGGAUAAGCCUGGGAAACCGGGUCUAAUACCGGAUAUGACUCCAUGACGCAUGUUGUGGGGUGGAAAGCCUUGUGCGGCUGAGGAUGGGCCCGCGGCCUAUCAGCUUGUUGGUGGGGUGANGGCCUACCAAGGCGACGACGGGUAGCCGGCCUGAGAGGGCGACCGGCCACACUGGGACUGAGACACGGCCCAGACUCCUACGGGAGGCAGCAGUGGGGAAUCUUGCGCAAUGGGCGAAAGCCUGACGCAGCGACGCCGCGUGAGGGAUGACGGCCUGG